AACGAACGCUGGCGGCAGGCUUAACACAUGCAAGUCGAGCGCCUCGCAAGAGGAGCGGCAGACGGGUGAGUAACGCGUGGGAACGUACCCUUAUCUUCGGAAUAGCUCUGGGAAACUGGAAGUAAUACCGAAUGUGCCCUUAGGGGGAAAGAUUUAUCGGAUAAGGAUCGGCCCGCGUUGGAUUAGCUAGUUGGUGGGGUAAAGGCCUACCAAGGCGACGAUCCAUAGCUGGUCUGAGAGGAUGAUCAGCCACAUUGGGACUGAGACACGGCCCAAACUCCUACGGGAGGCAGCGGUGGGGAAUAUUGGACAAUGGGCGCAAGCCUGAUCCAGCCAUGCCGCGUGAGUGAUGAAGGCCUUAGGGUUGUAAAGCUCUUUCACCGGAGAAGAUAAUGACGGUAUCCGGAGAAGAAGCCCCGGCUAACUUCGUG
rnacentral:rRNA from 1 species